AUGGCUCAGUGGUAGAACACCUGCCUAACAAGCAUGAGGCUCUGAGUUCAAACCCCAGU
rnacentral:tRNA from 1 species